AGGUAAUUGAAAUAUCUCUUAUUGGAUUUCUUGAUCCAUAUACCACAUUUUAGCAAGUUCCAGUAAACUAUGAAACCCCAUAGUUGGAGAGUGCACAGAAGUUGACGUAGAAUUGUCUACUACAAUUUCACACACGCAAAAAAAGCCGAUUUAAAGAGUGUGAUGAUUGAUAGGACGUGGAAGAAGCAAAUUUUGAGAGAACUUUUUCAUCUUUUUCAGGUUUUGAUGUCACUUUCUAACUUUGCAAUCGACCCAUUGCGGAGAUUGCUCAUUUUUGGUAAAGAAAUAAAGAACCACAUUGCUAGAAGUCCUAACAAAUGUGUCAUAAUAUGAAAAUCCAUGCUUGACUGCCGCAAAUAUACUGUGCAACAAAUUCGACUUCCUUUUUUUUUUUUUUUUUGACACUCCCAUCCCUCCAUAGCCUCAUUUAUGAUGUUACCCGCACCACACUAACCUCUUUCAUGAUCUCAAUAGUUAAUAUUACGUUUAAGAUUAUCUUUUUGUAAUCUUUUAUGUAAUAGUAUAAAUAAAGGUAUGAAAAUUGAUAUGAUAGACGCUUGAUGAGAUAGAAAAGCCUCUAUUUUCUCUUUACAUAUUCUUCGAUUCUCUUUGUGUUACUGUUUUUAAUCUUUUAUUUUACAAUGUUAUCAGCACAAAAAUUCUGAUAAUCACAUUCAAAGCGUGGGUUAUGUUUUUCCUCAAAUGCUCGUCUCUAAUUUAAUUACCAGCUGGGUGGAUGAAAUGGAGGCUUGCUUCAGGAGUGGUGUGUGAUAAGAAUGUGCCACUAAAACUUAAAGGUAGGUUCUACAAAGUGGUUGUGAGACCGACCUUGUUAUACGGGGCAGAGUGUUGGGCAGUCAAGAGCUCUCACGUCCAAAAGAUGAAAGUUGCGGAAAUGAGAAUGUUGCGAUGGAUGUGUGGGCACACCAGGCGAGAUAGAAUUAGGAAUGCAGAUAUUUAGGGUAAGGUUGGAGUAGCAUCAGUGGAGGACAAGAUGAGGGAAGCGAGAUUGAGAUGAUUUGGGCAUGUGAGGAGGAGAGGCACAGAUGCUCCAGUGCGGAGGUGUGAGAGGUUAGCUAUGGAUGGUUUCAGAAGAGGUCGGGGUAGGCCGAAAAAGUAUUGGGGAGAGGUGCUGAGACAGGACAUGGCGCAGGAUCAGCUUACCGAGGACAUGAUCUUAGAUAGGAGAUUUUGGAGGACUCAUAUUAGGGUAGAAGGCUAGUAGGUAGUCGUUGUUUCGAUCUAUAGUCUAUUGCCCUUUGUUUCUUGCUACUAUAUGUGGUUUCUUGUACUUCGAUUAUCUUAUUUAUCUGUGGUAGCUAUUGUUCCCUUUUUUUCCAGACUGCUUUAUUUUGACUUAUUCGCUUUCUUUAGUUUCAUUUGCAUUCUGCUUUGAACUGCUUGUGCUUAUCUAACCUUUCUCGUUGUGAUUUCUCCUGAGCCGAGGGUCUUUCGGAAACAGUCUCCCUGUCUUCCGAGAUAGGGGUAUGAUCUGCGUACACUUUACCCUUCCCAGACCUCACAUUGUGGGAUUUCACUGGGUAUGUUGUUGUUGUUGUACAAUUUUAAUUAAUGAAAUAGAUAUUAACAAGUAUUUUGUUUUUCAUUUAUAACAUAAAAAUUACAGAAAAAUAAAUUUUUGCGUAUUUUUGUUUAUAAUAGCUAAAUGAGAUUCAAAAAUCAAAUGUCAAUAUACAUACAUAACAACACCUCACUAUAACAGCUAUGAAAUUUUCGGACUAACACUGCCACUUUAGAGAGGUUUUACAGUACUUGGCAAACAUAAUAUUAUCAAGAUCUAUGCUAACUAGCCUAUUGGAACAUCUUCUGUGUAGAACAAACUAUGCUAUUAUUAAUGAGAUUACUUGACCAGACCUUAUUUGCUUUUGAAAUUGAAAUAUGCCUAGUUGACCAAUAUAUAUAUAUAUAUAUAUAUAUAUAUGGGGACAUAGCUAACUUACUACCUUCAUAUAGUAUGUUAGCAAGAUUAUAUAGAUAUAUACUAGUCUUUGGAAGCCCAUGAUAAGCUCGGACCUAAAAUCAAGGUAGAAAACUCCAUAUUUGUUUAAAUUAAAAAAGAGAUAAUUUGACAUAUCGUAAACUAACAUAGUUGGAAGUAUUUAAAAUAAUUUCUAAUUGACUAGAAGAGUAGUCGACUGUUCAGUUUUGCUUUUCUUCACAAUGAUUCAGAAAAAAUUUCACUCUCUCCGUUUCAAUUUAAGUGUCUUAGUUUGACUGGACACAAGGUUUAAGAAAUAAAAGAAAGCUCUUAACAUUUAAUUUUUGUUAUUUUUUCUUAACUUUUAUUGUUAAUUGUUAAUGAAAUUAUUUAUUUCAAUUCAGAUCAUAAACUAUCACCUAUUUUUGAGUUUCCUAUCAGAACUAUCAGGUGAGAGUUUCCCACAUAAACUAUCACCAAUUAGUUUGUAAAACACACCUCAAUUAUCACUUAUUCACUUUUUCUACCUAAACUAUCAUCAAUUAGUUUGCAAAACACAGGGGUAAUAGUUUAGGUAGAAAACUCUUACACCUGAUAGUUCAGGUGGGAAACUCAAAAAUAGGUGAUACUUGAGGUGUGUUUUCGACCCUUAACCCAAAAAAAAAAAAAAAUAACCGCAAGAAGUCACACCCAAAUGAGAGUUUAGCAAACUGUAAAUUAACAAAGACCCAAAAUUUCAGCCGAGAGAAAAGCAAGCAAAGCAGCCCCCUUUCAUACCUUUUAGGUGAAUGAAUAAACUUGCUAGUUUUUGAUAUGCAAACCUACUCUAGAUAUUUCCAGACCAUUUUGUCUUGGCAAUUUGAAGAGUUACAAAUUAUGAUUUUGUAGUACAUCUUCUCUAAGAAAACAUAUUUUAGCUUCUCCAAUUUGUUAGGUCCAAGGUUUCACCUAUUAAUUUUGAUGAUAACAAACCAACAUAAGUUUUAAUAAAAGAACAUUUACUUGCGGUAAAUUUAUUUUUGGUAUAGGCUUGUUUGAUGAAGACGGAUCCGGUGAAGAUACAAGCAAAUAUGGAAAAGAAGAUAUUACAAGAUGGAAUUAUGGAAGAAAAGCUUACUCAAAUCAAGGUGUAUAAUAUAUCUACCGCAAGCUUGGAAAGAGGGUGGAUGGAUUUUACUACAAUAUUAAGGCAAGACUAUUCAGAUUAUUUGGUAAAUUGCUACAAGUUUCUUUAUGGAAAUAAAUUAUACUUCCAAGAUCUAUGCAUGGAAGGAAAGCACUUAUGGAAUAAAUUAUUAUGCACAAGAUUGGCACAGAUGGAAAGGAAUAUUAUUGCAUUAGCCCGGGAUGGUAAAUAUUCAUUUCGUAAUAUAAGAGAUCUUCAUAUAUUGACUUAAAGGAAGUUGUGAUGAUUGAUUUUUAUAUUUGGAAGGAACACUUUUGAUUGAAUUAAUACUUAAAUGGAAUAGAAGUUUCAAGCAAAGAGGCCAUCAAGGAAGUAAAUAUAAAGGAUCUGUUUUGAUUGGACCUCGCGUGGAGAAGAAUUGAAAUUGGGAGCACUUACUAUAUUGAUGGGGCGUUAACAUUUUACUACAAAAGGAAAAGUCUUUUUGGAAUGAGGAUUUCUUUCCUUACCAAUAAUGAAUCUGGAAGCAUGAAUCAAGACACACAUCAAGUCAACAACAAAGGAAAUUCUUUUCCAAAAUUAGAAGACCAGUUCAACGGCUAGACUAUUCAAGACCAAGUAUAAAAGACAAAGCAAGUGCAACAAUUUAAUUCACGCAGCCAAUUAUACUUUUGUCUUAACCUUCUCAAGUUUUUUGCUCUACUUUUCAUAAGCAUUGUAAUUCUGAGUGACUUACUGUGUAAACAACUAAAAGAAGAGGGAUAUAGUAUAGUUGGUGAGGCUUUGUAUUAAGAGGUUGUGUCAUUGUUCGUUUCUUUGGUGAGCGAGUGAAAAAUCAACUUUGUGCGUUGUUGGUGAGCGUGUCAAAACCAACCCUUGUUCGUUGUUGGUGAGCGAGUGAAAAUCAAUCUUGUAAACGUUGGUGGUGAACGAGGAAAACCACAAAGGCUGUACUCAACUCAAACUACAAAGAGCUUAAAAAGAUAAUCUCCUUGCAACCCAAGGGGACUGGAUUAGGAUACCACAUUGGUUCCGAACCAGUAUAAAAA